AUUGAACGCUGGCGGCAGGCCUAACACAUGCAAGUCGAGCGAGCGGCGGACGGGUGAGUAAGGUAUGGGGAUCUGCCUGAUGGAGGGGGAUAACUACUGGAAACGGUAGCUAAUACCGCAUACCAUCAGAUGAACCCAUUUGGGAUUAGCUUGUGGGUGGGGUAACGGCUCACCUAGGCGACGAUCCAUCGCUGGUCUGAGAGGAUGAUCAGCCACACUGGGACUGGGACACGGUCCAGACUCCUACGGGAGGCAGCAGUGGGGAAUAUUGGACAAUGGGCGCAAGCCUGAUGCAGCCAUGCCGCGUGUAUGAAGAAGGUCUUCGGGUUGUAAAGUACUUUCAGUAGGGAGGCGUUACCGACAGAAGAAGCACCGGCUAACUCCGUGCCAGCAGCCGCGGUAAUUC
rnacentral:rRNA from 1 species